rnacentral:rRNA from 1 species
AUACGUAGCCGACCUGAGAGGGUGAUCGGCCACACUGGAACUGAGACACGGUCCAGACUCCUACGGGAGGCAGCAGUAGGGAAUCUUCCGCAAUGGGCGAAAGCCUGACGGAGCAACGCCGCGUGAGUGAUGAAGGGUUUCGGCUCGUAAAACUCUGUUAUUAGGGAAGAACAAAUGUGUAAGUAACUGUGCACGUCUUGACGGUACCUAAUCAGAAAGCCACGGCUAACUACGUGCCAGCAGCCGCGGUAAUACGUAGGUGGCAAGCGUUAUCCGGAAUUAUUGGGCGUAAAGCGCGCGUAGGCGGUUUCUUAAGUCUGAUGUGAAAGCCCACGGCUCAACCGUGGAGGGUCAUUGGAAACUGGGAAACUUGAGUGCAGAAGAGGAAAGUGGAAUUCCAUGUGUAGCGGUGAAAUGCGCAGAGAUAUGGAGGAACACCAGUGGCGAAGGCGACUUUCUGGUCUGUAACUGACGCUGAUGUGCGAAAGCGUGGGGAUCAA